rnacentral:rRNA from 1 species
GAUGAACGCUAGCGGCAGGCUUAAUACAUGCAAGUCGCGGGGCAGCAUGAUGUAGCUAUACAUUGAUGGCGACCGGCAAACGGGUGCGGAACACGUACACAACCUUCCUUUUAGUGGGGAAUAGCCCAGAGAAAUUUGGAUUAAUACCCCAUAAGAUAAUGAGAUGGCAUCAUCUUAUUAUUAAAGCUUCGGCGCUAGAAGAUGGGUGUGCGGCUGAUUAGGUAGUUGGCGGGGUAACGGCCCACCAAGCCUACGAUCAGUAGCUGAUGUGAGAGCAUGAUCAGCCACACGGGCACUGAGACACGGGCCCGACUCCUACGGGAGGCAGCAGUAAGGAAUAUUGGACAAUGGACGCAAGUCUGAUCCAGCCAUGCCGCGUGAAGGAUUAAGGUCCUCUGGAUUGUAAACUUCUUUUAUUUGGGACGAAAAAAGAUCAUUCUUGAUCACUUGACGGUACCAGAUGAAUAAGCACCGGCUAACUCCGUGCCAGCCGCCGCCGUAAGAC